ACUCAAAUGAAUUGACGGGGACCCGCACAAGCGGUGGAACAUGUGGUUUAAUUCGACGGUAAGCGAGGCACCUCACCAAGGUUUGACAUGUAACUGCAAAUCCCAUGAAAGUGGGACUUCUUCGAGAGUGUUACACAGGUGCUGCAUGGUUGUCGUCAGCUCGUGCCGUGAGGUGUACCCUUAAGUGGGGUAACGAGCGCAACCCCUAUGUCGUGUUGUUUUUCACGACAGACUGCCUCGGAUAACGGGGAGGAAGGCGGGGAUGACGUCAAAUCAGCAUGGCUCUUACACCUUGGGCGACACACGUGUUACAAUGGACGGUACAAAGGGCAGCCAAAGCGAAAGCUGGAGCAAAUCCCAACAAAACCGUUCUCAGUUCGGAUUGAGGGCUGAAACUCGUCCUCAUGAAGCCGGAAUCGCUAGUAAACGCGCAUCAGAACGGCGCGUUGAAUACGUUCUCGGGUCUUGUACACACCGCCCGU
rnacentral:rRNA from 1 species